rnacentral:rRNA from 1 species
GUGUCAGCAGCCGCGGUAAUACGUAGGUGGCAAGCGUUGUCCGGAUUUAUUGGGUUUAAAGGGUGCGUAGGCGGUCAUGUAAGUCAGCGGUGAAAUCCGGCAGCUCAACUGUCGAUGUGCCAUUGAUACUGCAUGACUUGAGUACUGAUGAGGUAGGCGGAAUUGACGGUGUAGCGGUGAAAUGCUUAGAUAUCGUCAAGAACACCGAUAGCGAAGGCAGCUUACUAAAGAGUAACUGACGCUGAGGCACGAAAGUGUGGGGAUCAAACAGGAUUAGAUACCCUUGUAGUCC